rnacentral:lncRNA from 1 species
CCAACAAUGCCAAGGCCGUGAGUGCACGAGCAGAGGCCAUCAAGGCCCUCGUGAAGCCUCAGGCCGUCAAGCCCAAGAUGCCAAAGGGCUCCAGCCGCAAACUCAGCCGUCUGGUUUUCAUCGCUCACCCCAAGCUUGGGAAGAAGAUUCGAAGCUACAUGGCCAAGGGUCAUAGGCUCUGCCAACCAAAGCCCAAGGUUCAAACCAAGGCAGAGGCCAAAGCUCCAGCUAAGGCCCAGGCCAAAGCUCCAGCCCAGGCUCCCAAGGGUGCCCAGGCCCCUGUGAAGGCCCCAUAGAACAGGCUCCUGCCAGUGUGAAGACAGAUGGACUGCUGGGACACACCUACCUACACACUAUCUGCAGAUGACCAGUGUCCUAUGCUGUUUUUACAAAUAAACUUGAGCAAGGAAAAAAAAAAAAAAAAA